AGUACUGUGAGAGCAAUCAUACAAAAUGAAAGGUUUUUUGGUAUUUUUGGCCAUCGUGCUUCUUGCGUUUACGUACUCAGCCAAAGGAGCCCCGGCUACGAACUAUGGCCAUGUUGUUGGUUCAGAAGUGAUAAAUACUUCGAAUUUAUGUCUAGAAACAUUUAGAAAUGAUGGAUACUGGUACAACCCUUCACGCAGUUUCCUGCAUAAUAAGCUUGCAGAUUUUUUUUGGAGUCCACCUUGCGAUCAAUAUUAUUGAAGAUUAGUUGGUAUACUUAGAUAACAAUGUUUUUUUUACUCCUUCCUACCACACAUAGUUACAAACUAGACGAGACUAUAAACCUGCUAAUAAAUACAGCUUAAGGACGCUUUUCAUAAAUCGAGAGUCCGGUAUAACAUACAUUUAUAAACGAUGUUCUACAAUUUUGAAAAAAAUCACACAACUAGCCAUAGAGGGCAGAAAGAGAGUAGAAGAAGAGUGGAGGAAACAUUCGAUUCUAAGAAAAUGUUUAAGGAUAACUUUAAAUAAACUCAUUGCUUAAAA